rnacentral:lncRNA from 1 species
AUAGGGGACACAAGGUAUACCUGUCUGUGUGAUAGGAGUUGGAUGGGACGCCAUCACUUGUGUGUGUUGUGAUUACAAGAAGGUUAACAACCUUUAGUAGUGUCUUAAUUUGGACACGCAACACUUAGUUCAUUUGUUCAUAUUGGUCUCCCAGUCAUCCUUUUAUUUCAAAUGAAAGCUAUUCUGAAAACUCAUUGAUUGGUAAUCAUCAUCGUGAAAGACUUCUAUAUAUCCAAGAAAG